AGUGAACGCUGGCGGUAGGCCUAAUACAUGCAAGUCGAACGGCAGCACAGUAAGCGCUCGCUCUUAAGGGUGGCGACGGGCGGAUGAGUGAGGAAUGCAUCGGAUACUACUUUUUCUUGGGGGAUAACGGAGGACAAGUUACAAUACUACCGCAUAUAUUCUACGGCUGGAAGCAAUGGAUCUUCGGGGUUUUCGUGUUUGAUUUAGCCGGUGCCGGAUUAGCUAGUUGGCUGGGUAAAGGCCCACCAAGGCGACGAUGCGUAGCGGGUCUGAGAGGAUGAUCAGCCACACUGGAACUGAGACACGGUCCAGACUCCUACGGGAGGCAGCAGUGGGGAAUAUUGGACAAUGGGCGCAAGCCUGAUCCAGCCAUGCCGCGUGGGUGAAGAAGGCCUUCGGGUUGUAAAGCCCUUUUGUUGGGGAAGAAAAGCAGCAGGUUAAUACCCCGCUGUUCUGACGGUACCCAAAGAGUAAGCACCGGCUAACUUCGUG
rnacentral:rRNA from 1 species